AUUGAACGCUGGCGGCAUGCCUUACACAUGCAAGUCGAACGGUAACAGGGAGCUUGCUCCGCUGACGAGUGGCGAACGGGUGAGUAAUAUAUCGGAACGUACCUUUGAGUGGGGGAUAACUAGUCGAAAGAUUAGCUAAUACCGCAUACGAUCUACGGAUGAAAGUGGGGGAUCGCAAGACCUCAUGCUCAUAGAGCGGCCGAUAUCUGAUUAGCUAGUUGGUGAGGUAAAGGCUCACCAAGGCUUCGAUCAGUAGCUGGUCUGAGAGGACGACCAGCCACACUGGGACUGAGACACGGCCCAGACUCCUACGGGAGGCAGCAGUGGGGAAUUUUGGACAAUGGGGGCAACCCUGAUCCAGCAAUGCCGCGUGAGUGAAGAAGGCCUUCGGGUUGUAAAGCUCUUUUGUCAGGGAAGAAACGGUCUGAUCUAAUACAUUGGGCUAAUGACGGUACCUGAAGAAUAAGCACCGGCUAACUACGUGCCAGCAGCCGCGGUAAUACGUAGGGUGCAAGCGUUAAUCGGAAUUACUGGGCGUAAAGCGUGCGCAGGCGGUUAUGUAAGACAGGUGUGAAAUCCCCGGGCUUAACCUGGGAAUGGCAUUUGUGACUGCAUAGCUAGAGUGUGUCAGAGGGGGGUAGAAUUCCACGUGUAGCAGUGAAAUGCGUAGAGAUGUGGAGGAAUACCGAUGGCGAAGGCAGCCCCCUGGGAUAACACUGACGCUCAU
rnacentral:rRNA from 1 species